rnacentral:piRNA from 1 species
UGGUUGUGCCCUAGGCAGGAUGCCC